AAAGGCAAAAGCCUAGGCUUAGAAGCCAUUAAGCUUCGGCAGAAGCAUUCAAGGAAAUAGAAAAAAAGAAAGUAAAAAAAGAAAAAUCCGUGUCAGCCACUUUUGAGAAUCAAAGGAAACGUGAGGUUUUAGUUUUCUGCCAUUGAAGAGGACUACAAGUAUUCAACAGAGAAAGCUAAUUAAACAGAGAAGAAGAAGAUUGAUUGAAGAAAGUCAUACGGAUCGCUCGAGGUGACGAGUUUGGUAUUUCACACGAGUACUAGCCAGGUAUUGGAGAUGUGGGACUCGGACAGA